rnacentral:rRNA from 1 species
GAUGAACGCUGGCGGCGUGCCUAAUACAUGCAAGUCGAGCGAACGGACGAGAAGCUUGCUUCUCUGAUGUUAGCGGCGGGCGGGUGAGUAACACGUGGAUAACCUACCUAUAAGACUGGGAUAACUUCGGGAAACCGGAGCUAAUACCGGAUAAUAUUUUGAACCGCAUGGUUCAAAAGUGAAAGACGGUCUUGCUGUCACUUAUAGAUGGAUCCGCGCUGCAUUAGCUAGUUGGUAAGGUAACGGCUUACCAAGGCAACGAUGCAUAGCCGACCUGAGAGGGUGAUCGGCCACACUGGAACUGAGACACGGUCCAGACUCCUACGGGAGGCAGCAGUAGGGAAUCUUCCGCAAUGGGCGAAAGCCUGACGGAGCAACGCCGCGUGAGUGAUGAAGGUCUUCGGAUCGUAAAACUCUGUUAUUAGGGAAGAACAUAUGUGUAAGUAACUGUGCACAUCUUGACGGUACCGAAGCAGAAAGCCACGGCUAACUACGG